GGCGGCAUAGCUCAGCUGGCUAGAGCACUUGGUUCAUACCCAGGGUGUCGGUGGUUCAAGUCCACUUGCCGCUACCA
rnacentral:tRNA from 2 species